UGCCAGGAGUCAAAGUGGUGCAG
rnacentral:misc_RNA from 1 species